rnacentral:rRNA from 1 species
AUUGAACGCUGGCGGCAGGCCUAACACAUGCAAGUCGAGCGGAUGAAGGGAGCUUGCUCCUGGAUUCAGCGGCGGGCGGGUGAGUAAUGCCUAGGAAUCUGCCUGGUAGUGGGGGAUAACGUCCGGAAACGGGCGCUAAUACCGCAUACGUCCUGAGGGAGAAAGUGGGGGAUCUUCGGACCUCACGCUAUCAGAUGAGCCUAUGUCGGAUUAGCUAGUUGGUGGGGUAAAGGCCUACCAAGGCGACGAUCCGUAACUGGUCUGAGAGGAUGAUCAGUCACACUGGAACUGAGACACGGUCCAGACUCCUACGGGAGGCAGCAGUGGGGAAUAUUGGACAAUGGGCGAAAGCCUGAUCCAGCCAUGCCGCGUGUGUGAAGAAGGGCUUCGGAUUGUAAAGCACUUUAAGUUGGGAGGAAGGGCAGUAAGUUAAUACCUUGCUGUUUUGACGUUACCAACAGAAUAAGCACCGGCUAACUUCGUG